CAGCAGCCACGGUAAUACGUAGGGUGCGAGCGUUAAUCGGAAUUACUGGGCGUAAAGCGUGCGCAGGCGGUUGUGUAAGACAGGUGUGAAAUCCCCGGGCUUAACCUGGGAACUGCGCUUGUGACUGCACAGCUAGAGUAUGGCAGAGGGGGGUGGAAUUCCACGUGUAGCAGUGAAAUGCGUAGAGAUGUGGAGGAACACCGAUGGCGAAGGCAGCCCCCUGGGCCAAUACUGACGCUCAUGCACGAAAGCGUGGGGGGCAAACAGGAUUAGAUACCCCCGUAGUCCCUGUCUCUUAUAA
rnacentral:rRNA from 1 species